GACGAGCGCUGGCGGCGUGCUUAACACAUGCAAGUCGAGCGGAAAGGCCCCUUCGGGGGUACUCGAGCGGCGAACGGGUGAGUAACACGUGAGUAAUCUGCCUCUGGCUUCGGGAUAGCCCUCCGAAAGGGGGAUUAAUACCGGAUAUGACCAGCUACUGCAUGGUGGUUGGUGGAAAGUUUUUUCGGCCAGGGAUGUGCUCGCGGCCUAUCAGCUUGAUGGUGGGGUAAUGGCCUACCAUGGCUUCGACGGGUAGCCGGCCUGAGAGGGUGACCGGUCACACUGGGACUGAGACACGGCCCAGACUCCUACGGGAGGCAGCAGUGGGGAAUAUUGGACAAUGGGCGGAAGCCUGAUCCAGCAACGCCGCGUGAGGGAUGACUGCCUUCGGGUUGUAAACCUCUUUCAGUACCGACGAAGCGAAAGUGACGGUAGGUACAGAAGAAGCACCGGCCAACUACGUGCCAGCAGCCGCCGUAA
rnacentral:rRNA from 1 species